AACAGGAUGCAGUCCUACUUCCUAGCAGAAGGGGCGAGCGGGCGCCUCCCGUCACACCCCGAAAGGCCUCCCGGGGGCCCGAUUACCCCGGGGAGCUUCACUCCCAACUGAGACUUUGCCCGGUGAACCGACCUCCUCCGACCUCAGGCGUUUACCGGGAAAACUUGGCGCGUUAGUUACAACGAGAUCGACAGAGCAGGCUGGCGAGGGCGGCAAGGAGUGUGUGUCACUUUGUGUUGCAGUCGGUGAGCAGAGGCAGGAAGCCCAGAAGAGGCAGCGGAGGGGACUGGGGCCGAAGGCCAGCGACCCGCGCCCUUAAGUUCUGCUCCGGGAACGAAGCAAAAACGCCCCAGGUGGAGCGAGAAACCUCUGUACUUCAGCAUCCAUGGAAUCCUCUUCCAAGCUGUAUGUCAAAAAGCAGGACAAAUAUGUAAAUCCUGACUUGGUGUCUGUGGUGAAUUAACUAAUGGGCAACUUGUAACGCUCAGCUGAACUUAAUCAGUGUGGUCUGGGCAUAGAAGAUCCACCUGAGGAUUGUUGCCAAUAGCCAUAAAAAGAGAACUGGAGAGGAAGAUUGUAUGCUGUUGAUUUUCUAGGAGAAGCUUGCUGCGCAUGGUUUUCCUGAUGCGAACUUGACUGUUCUCAUCGGAG
rnacentral:lncRNA from 1 species